UACGUAGGGUGCGAGCGUUAAUCGGAAUUACUGGGCGUAAAGCGUGCGCAGGCUGUUCGCCAAGUCAGGUGUGAAAUCCCCGGGCUUAACCUGGGAAUUGCGCUUGAAACUAGCGGGCUUGAGUGUGGCAGAGGGGGGUGGAAUUCCACGUGUAGCAGUGAAAUGCGUAGAGAUGUGGAGGAACACCGAUGGCGAAGGCAGCCCCCUGGGUCAACACUGACGCUCAUGCACGAAAGCGUGGGGAGCAAACAGG
rnacentral:rRNA from 1 species